AUACAACCGUACACCUUUUCAAAAAAAAAUAAUAAUAAUACAACCGUACAGUAAUGCCCAAUACUUCCACCACACAAUUACACUACUUUUACGGAUCACAAAAUAGCACACCGUUCACAAUAAAACACAACGCACCGAACAAUACUUCAUAUUACCAAUCAAACUUCACAACAUGAUGCAUUCGCAAUACCAGUCCAAUAGCCACUUUGCAAUAGCAUAAUUCUUUAACGAAAAAGGUUAGAAAUUAUAAAAUAGCGAGAGGUUGAACGCUUGCUGUGUUGGUUGCUGUCCAGCAAAGUCCCACGACGGCGGCUACGCAUGUGCAAGUAGGAGUCCAACGAUCUCUGUCGUGACCCUAGAAACAGUGGCUGUUCGGGGUAGCAAGGGCUCAGUGGGCUUGGUGGCAGGAGGUGGAGAGGGUGUCCAUGGCUGGCUUGGCCAAGCGCAGUUGUGGGAGGUGGCGCUUGGGUGCUGGAAGCCGAAGGGGAAAGGAGAGGGAGGCAUGGCCUCGGUUGGCUGGACACCGUGGCAUGGAGACUGGAUCACGGGGCUAACCCCAGGUGACAAUGGGUGGCGAGACAUGGUGGUUGACUGCGGCUAGGCACUGGAUCUAAGGAGAUCCGUGGGUAGAGAGGGAGGGAGAGGCACGGGGUUGCCUGGACUGGUGGAUCUAGGGAGGAGGUGGUCGCAGUGGUGAGGCACGACGUGGAGGAGGCUUGUUGGUUGCUCGCGGUGGCCUGGUGGUGGCGAAACCGAGAGAGAAGAAAGAGAGGCUUCGGGCUUCAAUCUGGUCAUGGAGAGAGAGAGAGAGAGAGAGAGAGAGAGAGAGGCCUAUAAUGGAGGGGAGGGGAUCGGUGAGGCCGUGGGGGGCUGCUGGUGACUGGUGAGGGGCUGGGUCGCGGCGGUGCACAGUGGGGCAUGAAGUAGGAGGAUUUCGGGGAGAGAAAUCCGUGGGGUUUUGGGGCUGGGCAUGGUUGCGGGAGGAGAUCGAUGUGGAAGGUCCGGCAAUGUGGGUUGGAGCCAGCGAGGUGGCCGUCGGGGUGCGGCAGCGAGGCUGGGUGCGAGAGGAGGGGGUGGAAAUCGGGGAAGGUGGCUGCUUGAGGGAAGAGAGAGAAAGGGGAGGGGAAAAUGAGGAAAAAGGUUAGGGUUUUUGGGAUCUAAUCUAGCCCUUCAUUCUAGGUUUCUGAUCUGAUCCAAUGGUGGUGAUUUUAAAUACUAAAAUAAAUUAACUAAAUAAUAAGUAGCUCCUGAUCUGAUCCAAUGGCUGAUAUCUCUCUUUCUUGAUUUUAUUUAGCUUUUUGGCAAUGUGAAAAAAAGCUAGGAAAGUUCUAGUUCAAGCACUUGAGCAUUUGAGCGUGUCUAACUGUGAAAACUAAUUCUUGAGGUCUGUACUCUAGUUUGUGAAAAUAUAUGUUGGGGUUGAUACUUCUCAUGUUAGAGCAAUAUACCAAGAAGCAAAAAAAAAAAAAAAUACAUGUGUUGUUUUAGCUUUUUCUUUCACUAUAAGACUUGUGAGUCAUUUUCUUUGUAACAGGUCUAGUUAUCCAAUUGUACUUGUAUUAAAAUUUUGAAGGUAUUGGUUAUUAACCUAGAUGCAUGGUUGGUGUAGAGUUCAACAUAGUAGAGGUUGUUACUAUCAAUAUGAUACGAGAUGGGAGAACUGAGGUAAAUAGUUCUAGAAAUAAAAAUAUAAAAUAGUUAUUUUUCCACUUUAAUGUUCUCAUUAGUGUCAAAGCAUUAAACUCUUUAUUGCCUCUUGGGUUCUCAUUAGGAGUUUUUCUUUAAAACAUGUUAGCACAAUUUUAGUUCUUUUUUUGAAAUUGUUAUUAGUGUCAAUUUGAAUUUUCAAGGUUUGUAUAUAAUUUUUUAGCUUAUGUUAGAUAAUUUUUUAUGAUCAUUUUUUACUCAGCUUCAUUUUUUUUUACAUUUACAAUUUUUUUUUUAUGGAACAAUAAUUCCAUUUACAACCUUUGCUGGAAAUAGGCCAUAGAGUAAGUCUAUAGCUAACUAAUAUUAUCACAAAUACUAACUUAUUAGCUUACUAACAGUCUAUAGGCUAAUGUCUUUAUGUUUUAUGUAAUAAACACAUUUCAUAAACUUCAGAUUGUUUAAGAAUGAUGAUAUUUUACUAUUCUUCCAUUUUCUUCUGGAAUUAUUUGACUCUAAAAUUUCUUUUUCCUCCAAGUAUAUUGAACACUUGUGUAUGAACAUCUGUUUAUUUCUAAGUAUAUUUUUUCAAACUCACGUGUCUGAACUUUUACAAUUCAAACAACCAAGUAUAUUUCUUUAGUUAUCUUUUCAUGCUAGUGCCUUUGGAGUGCUCUUUUUUGGUUGCAAGUGAAUCCAACAAGUCAAAAAAGUAAGAUCAAGUCAUAUCUUAGGAUGUUUGCGCAUUGUUCCAAUACUUUACAUAUUACUCCUAUUAUUUUCUCUCAAUUAUUUUGGAAUAAAAAUUAGUGGAGUGGAGCUACAAAGGUUUUCUUAAAUCUAGCUCCUCUGAUUUAUGUUCAAUUAUCGUGUCCAUGUACCUAAGCUGGCUGUAGAUUGAAUUAUGGCUCCAAGAGAUUGAAUUUUCUCUUAUCUAUCAUAAAAAAUUUUGCUCAGCUUGUUUGGUUUUUAAUGACAUUUGGUGUGGCUUUUUGGUGUGUUUUAGAAAGUAAACCUCAACCAUUUUUAUACGAGAGCAUUUGUUGAAUCAUGUGUUGGAUGCAAUGCCCCAUGGACUUAGUCAAGUGGAGUGGCUUCAAGCUUUGCCGCGUGCAUUGGUUGCUUGAGUUUGUGAAGACUGAGAAGGAAUUCUAGAGUAGAGGCAUGAACUCAAGUGUUAUUUAUUGUGUUGAACUCAAGUGUUAUUUGAAUAAAAUAUCUAUAUUUGUGUGGAAUUGCAUUACGUGGGUAGCAAGUAUGUUGAUAUGGCUUACAAUAUAAGAUUUUAAGUUAUAUAUAUAGGAGUGUGAAGUGGAAUGAUGUGAAUUGGUACUAAAUAUUGAAGUGAUAUGUUGUUUGGGAUUAUUGUUUGUGUGUAUGAAGCUUAAAAUAACAUUUGUAGAUUGAUAUUAACAGCUAGAUAGACUUUGUUGAAAGUGGUUUUCUUGCAUUUCAUUGUUGUGUUGGUUGUCGUGUAUUGAAUUUUAAUGGAUUGUGGUUUAUAAUGAUUAGAUGAAAAACCUGAAAAUUUAAAAUUUAAAAGUAUUUUAUAUUUUAAUGAUAUUAGGGAAGGAAAUUACAAGCACUGACCUCCUAGCAAUCUGCUUAAAACAUAACAGGCUUGCCUUGGUAGUUUUGGAGGUCCCUAGGGAGGGGACCCACACUAUAGACCCUGAUAGGAUGACGUCCAGAGUGGCGCUCUGUCCCCUGACGUUUGCGAAUGGUCUACGUCUCUCAUUCUGCCAUCCAGUUUGCGACGUCCUCAACUUUUUGGGGCUGGCCCCUGUGCAACUUCACCCCAACUGCUAGUUGCUUCUGGCGUGAGCUGCAUUUUCUACUAGAGGGUACUUAGAUCUACCGUUGAGGAAUACCCCGAUCUGACUGCUUUGUCUGUGUAUCGUGUCAACCGCCUCUAUGGGAGUAUAUGUAACUUCCAGGCUCGCUACCCUACUUGGAAGAUAGCCACCCUUGAGUAGCAGUAUUCAUGCAUCAAAGACUAGGUCUGGAAGUAUUUCUUCAUGUUGAGGUCGAGGUGGGAGUAUUCCCCGAGAGAGGCCGUCCAACAGGAGUUCUCUGUUCGGGCAAUCUUGACGUUUCUCCCUUCCUCUAAGAGCCUAUGCAUCAAGCUGACCUGGAAGGAGGCUAGACUGGAGACAAUGAUAGCUUGGGCGUCGGCCAACAAGGCAGACUCUAAUACCAACUUGGCCCUUUCUGAUGUCAACAUAGGGAGCUACUUGUCCAUGCUCGAUCAUUCAUACUUAAUUGGUCGGGACUUCUUGGGCUAACUUCCAUCACCCCGUGGCUGAAAGCAUGCCUCCGGCUUUUCCAACAGCAAGGGGAAGCGGCCAAAGGCUCAUCAGAAUCCAACGAGGGUGUUCCCAAUGGUGAGGCCGGUGGAUCCCGCAGCCGAGGAGAUGCUCCCAAGGGCGAGGUUGGAGGACCUGAUCCCUACUCUUCUCACAAGGAGUCAAGCCAGGACCAAGGGUCUUGGGGGAAAGACAAGGAGUCUCGAGGCCAAGCUGGGGAUUCCAAGAGCCAUUCCAGGGGGUCCCAAGAUUGUGGAUGAUGGUAAAUCGGUUUGGCCAUCUUCUUCACACUCUUCCCAGGGGCCUGAGGUGGACUUCUAUUUCGCCUCUUCGGAGGGGUUGUCUCAACAAACUCCCUUGUCAGGCAGUCAGGGUUUAGCUGAGGGCAAGACACACCGUGUGGUAGGCGAGGGUCUUCUCAAACAAUAGGGGCGGGUUCCUGAGCGAGAGGAGCAGGUUCCCAAGCAGGCAGAAAGGGAUCUUGAGUACGAGGAAAUUGUUGGCUCAGGCUUGUUUAUGAAGGAUGUGUAGAGCAUUUAGUGGUAGUUGGGGAGCGCUCGUGUCCCUCUCUCAUGCUAGGGCUCUAACGAGCUAGGCUACUCACCCGGGCCUUGACAAAGCCCUGGCCGAAGCAACCGAGCAAGUGGCUCGGAAAUUGUGACCCUUCUUUGCCUAGGCUGCUAAGCAGUUGGCAAGAAUGGUCGAUGAGGAGCACAAGGAGCUCGAGCAAGUGGAAACAACAAUUCAUGCUAUUUGAAAUUGCACUGCCACCUGUGAUGCUUGGGGUGAAUCCUAUAGCCCACUUAGGAAGUGGUUGAGUUCAAUAGUGGCUUUUUGGGAUCUAUGGAAAAAUUUGAUUGUUAAUUUGAAAAUAAAGGAGAUAGAACUAAUAGCAUUCAUCAUGAAGAGACUAUGGGUAAGGAGGAAUGCUUUGUUUUUUACAAUAAAUUUGAAAGCCUAGCUUUGGUUAUUUAGGCAGCUAUCAGAGGCUUAAAAGAAUUUUAGUUAGCAUAGAACCAACUCCAUAAACAACAACAUGUUGAAAGGGAGGACAGGAGUGUGAUUAGAUGCGAAAAGUCUGGUGAAAAUCAAGUGAAGAUAAAUUGAGAUGUUGUUGUUGAUGUCAAUGCAAAGAAGACAGGUUUUGGAGUUAUAAUCCGAGAUUUAGCAAGAGAUGUUUUGGCUUCUCUUAGCUCUAGCAUUGAAGCCUUGUUAAAGCCUACUACAGCUGAAGCUAUGGCUUUGAGGAGAAUAAUGAUCCUAUGUUCUAAGCUAAUCUAGCAAGAGUUAUUUUAUAGGGAGAUUGCCAUGAAGUUGUUAAAGCUUCAAAUACUCAUCAAGAAAUUUGGGCAGAGGCUGGUCCAAUAUUGAUACAUGAUAUAAGGAGUACAUGAUAUAA